rnacentral:lncRNA from 1 species
GUCACUUUCAUGUAAACACUUUUAAAGAAAAAUAAAUAAAAACUAAUUAACAUCCAUAUUUAGGAUCUAAUUGCAGAGCAUGGAAGUAGUACAGAAACAGGGAAACCAGCUUCAAAUGUGGUCUUCAUUUCACUAAACUUUCAUUCACAUUACGUGUCCAACAGUCAUUCCUCAAUCAUAGUUAAGAAAGUACCUGGAAAUUGGGAAGGGACAAAGAAGAAAUGAGAUUCAGCAGGUCCAGCAGCAACAGUGCAACAAAUAAACCUCAAACUUAACCAAUUUUCAAUGAAAUCAAUUCAUAAACCAAUGAAACAAUAGCUUAACCACAGAAUCUACCCAGAAUUUUCUACAUGAACCAAAUUCAAGCCAUUUCACACACUCAAAUAUGAUCAAUUGUCAUUUGGGGAUGAGAAACUUCAAAUUCCAAAGUAGAAAUCUUAAUUGAACGGUAUUUUUUUUUCAAUUUUCAGCCGUUUUAUGAUUGUUUUGGAGUUUUUAGCUCCCAGCCCCCAUUACAAGGCAAGACUGAGAUGCCUUUAUAGGCAAACCAUAGUGCAACCAUCAGAUUUUUGUUUUGCAUUUUAGUCCCUGCUUAAUUUCCUACUUUUGCCUAUUUAAUCCUUUAUUUUAUGACUCGUUAGCCAAGUUAUGGUCUGAAAUUUAAUGACAGACCCCCCUACUAGAAGCUUCUUGGAGUUUCUUAGGUGUUUAAUGCAAGACUCUCUACCCAAAGACCCCAAAAUACCCUCCACGACCUUGCUUAUUAUCCUAAAAAUUAACUGGGUCAGCUGUCCUAGCUAAAACGGGUCAUAGACCCCAAAUUAAAUCCCUAUUUGGGAUGAUUUCUACAUACACAUCCAUUAAACUACUUAAAGGACCUAGAAUAGAGUUUGACUGCAUAAUUUCCACAUAAGAAAUCCAAAAUCAUUUUUCAGAAAUAACCAAAACAAGAACAAAAUUCACUCAACUAGACAUCAUUGUAAUUUAAUCGAAUCUGAGGCCUAAAUUUAUUAACUAAUGAUACAACGUAAUACUAAAAUUGAGACAAUAAUCAUGACAUGACCACAAUAGAAUUGAAUGAUAUACUAGAGAUGAACAAAUGACAGUUACCAAAUUGGAUAAAUCUUGACUCGAAUUUCGACUGAGUUGCCCGGAAAAAGAAUUAAAGGAGAGGAACAAACGCCGAAAUAUCAAGAUGCAUCAAACACAAGAAGAACAUACCUCAUAGCACUUGAAUUUUCUGACGUUGACACCAAAUAAUGUUAGCCUCUUGUUCUUUGUCAAGAACAAGUGGAUAACACUAUUUUGCGACAGAAUCAAUUCUAACACUCUAAGACGAUUGGAGUGGCACCUUGCAUGUUUGGAUUUGGACUUGGUUCCUAGAGAUUCUAAUUUAUAGAUUCAAUAUUCGAGGGAUUUAAGGAGGAUUUGAGGGAAGGUCAUUAGGGAUUCAGAAUAGGGAAGGCCUAGUGGUCACUUGGUGUUAUUUUGGGGUUGAACAGAAACGGCGGCGCCACCGGAGAAAUUGUGACGACGCUAGGGUUUAUGAUUUCAAAUCAAAAUUCAAAGGAUUUAGAUGGGUUUUAGGGGAAGCUGGUUAUGGCAUGGGUAUGAGGGUAAGGAGAUGAAUCAGUGCUAUAAAUUUGGUGGCUAUUGGGGACUCGCCGCCGCCGUGAGACGAUUUACAGCAAUGGCAGAUGGUGUCGUUACAAGGGUCUUCUGGUGAGGUG